CUGCCUUAAGGAGGACUUUAAAGGAGAACUACUGUUCAGAAGAAACAACACAUGCUCGUCUUGAAAGCAUGAUGGGAGAGCCAACUCCAGAAUUCCAACCAGUCCAACUUCAAACUCACCCACUCUACAGAAACUGCCCUUGUAGCAGUGAUGGAGAAGUUCCAUGCAGGCAAGAUCAGCAGACUGUCUCAGGAGGCGCCACUGAGCUGGGUGGGGCUGAUGAGCUGAAAGCUGAGGAGGGGCAGGUACUGAGCCAGUCUGACAUUAAACCACUGAUCCACCUCAUCCUGAGACGACGCACUGAGAGCACGAGACCAAACGCACCCCAACGUCUGUCUGCCCACAGCUGCAGAUACAACUGGCUGCUGCACAACG